rnacentral:rRNA from 1 species
GACGAACGCUGGCGGCGUGCCUAAUACAUGCAAGUAGAACGCUGAAGGAGGAGCUUGCUUCUCUGGAUGAGUUGCGAACGGGUGAGUAACGCGUAGGUAACCUGCCUGGUAGCGGGGGAUAACUAUUGGAAACGAUAGCUAAUACCGCAUAAGAGUAGAUGUUGCAUGACAUUUGCUUAAAAGGUGCAAUUGCAUCACUACCAGAUGGACCUGCGUUGUAUUAGCUAGUUGGUGGGGUAACGGCUCACCAAGGCGACGAUACAUAGCCGACCUGAGAGGGUGAUCGGCCACACUGGGACUGAGACACGGCCCAGACUCCUACGGGAGGCAGCAGUAGGGAAUCUUCGGCAAUGGACGGAAGUCUGACCGAGCAACGACGCGUGAGUGAAGAAGGUUUUCGGAUCGUAAAGCUCUGUUGUAAGAGAAGAACGAGUGUGAGAGUGGAAAGUUCACACUGUGACGGUAGCUUACCAGAAAGGGACGGCUAACUACGUG